UCUUCCCGAAAGCCGGUGGCGGGCGAGGCCUGGGCAGGGGCGUGCGGCUCGGGCCGGGGUAGGGGCACCCGCGUCCGGGUUGAUGCAAAGACCUGGCCAGGCCCGCUCUUUCCUCCCCCCACCACCCUCCUUUUGCCUUGUUGGAUUUUGCUGGGUUUUCUCUCCAAACAGGAAACCUGACAGCCCCGCUCAGGGAGGGGCGGUGACGAGGAUGUCUUUGCUCCGGGCCGGCCUGCCCUCCCGGCAGGGCCCUGAGUUUGCCCCUCCCCCUGCACUCCCCUACCCGUGGGUGCGGGUUCCGGAGCUGGAGAAGGGCUCUGAGAAACCAGGCCUUCACCCCUGCUCCUCACUCCUGCCCCUUAGGGAUCGAUGCAUCACCUCCUCCUCUCCUUCCCCACUCCCACCAAGGGCCUGGGCCUCGCCGCCAAGGAGAAAGGCUCACCUCGAGCUGACCAGGACCAGGACGAGGCUAGUCUCUAACCCCGCAGGCCCCCUACUCCCACAUACAACACGUCUCCUUUGAGUCUCCAGGGGCCUCCUUCCAAUGGCCAGCGAUUGCCUGGCCUCAAAGCACCCCUCACAAGCUGUGAGCCCCGCUCCUGCUGCCUCUGAACCCAGGAACCGAGAGGUCAGAAACCACUGGUUUCAACAAGAAAGGGACCUACAGAGGAGUGGUUGUGAGACUGAGCUCCGAAGCCAGCCCUGGGACCUGCUCCCCUUGCCCAAGCCCAACUCGCCAGUCUCUCCCUCCGCCUGCCACCCUGAUGGCUCAGAGAUGAGACAGAUCCAGAUGUGGAGUCUCUGUCCUCAUUUCAGAGGUGCUGGUGACCCAGGGUCCCUGGCCCAGCCGGGCACAGAGGGCAGCUCCGCGGGCCCAAGGCCGCGGGAAUGAUGGAUGUGCUUGGCUUCUGGGUCACCUGUCCAUGGGCUCUGUCCUGGGAUGUCCCCUUUCCUGCCCCUUCUGGGACAUUUUGGGGGACCUGCCACCCACGGUUGCUCCAGGACCAGAAACAGUUUGUCUCACCAGCUCCAGAAAUUCUCUGAAUUGCUUUUACUGCAGCCCCAGGCCUGGCCUUCCCCAAACAGGACAGGAAAAUCCUGUCCUGGGCUGCGCUCUCUUGCCUGAGGUGCUCCUUUGAGAUAGUUGACUUUUAUAGCACGUGGAUCAAUCUCAUUUUGUAAAUGUGAUAUCUUUCCAAUGGCAUUUUUACAACUGUAUUUGUUAGGCUUGUAAAACCCCUUGAAUUAUCUUUAAAAUGCUCAGUUCUCUGGAGCCUGAAGAACGAUUUAUUUAUGUGAUUUGGUUGAAUUUCCAGAGGGUGUUUAUAAGAUCUGUAAAACUGGCGAAUGCAGGCUGAUGGGGUUCAGGACUUGGGGGGUGUGUGGCAAGGCCCCCCUAGGAAUCUGGCAACGACUUCCUUAAUCUCUUCCUUGCUUUUCGAUUUCUCCCCUCACUUCCCCCAAGGAGAAAACAUUGGGAAAGGACUGGGCUAUGAUUGGCCUCUCCAGAGACUGUGGUGCAUCCUCGAAAUCGGCUGCUGCCCACCCAGUGGGGGCUGCACCCAGAAGCCUUCUGACUGUGCCCCAAUCAGUUGAAGCUGGGAAGGUUUCUUCUUUGCAUAUAUAAAUAAGGGCCUGGCAGGAGAGGACGUAAUUUUAAAUUGUCCUCGAAUUUCUUUAGGGAAAAGAUCUGAUAGGUGAAAAUGAAAACUCAAGAGUUAAAAAUUAAAAAGGGAUUUACAAAAAAGUUGUGUUAGAAGAGAAUCAUGUUUAAGUUGUUGUUUCUUUAACAAGACCAUCAGAUGAUGGUGAUUUCAAGCAAGUUAUUAUCAUGUAAGAUGAAAAUGAUCAUUUGGAGAUGUUGAUAAAUGUUUACAUUCAUAAUUUCUGCUUCAUUCCUCCAGGUCCCACACGGUGUUGGGGCUGGUGGCAGUUUACUACUGUUAUUAGUAUUUGUUAUGGUUUGACCCGGAUUCUCGAUUUAAUCAUCGUCCCAGUCAACGAAAGAAUUUGAUUUCUCAGCUAAGAGUCAAAAAACAGUAUAUUUCUAGCUUCUAUAGAAACUAAGAUGGAAAAAAUAUAUUAAACUGAAAUCUCUACGUGUUAGCCAAGGCUGGUACAUAUCACGUUGACAGCCGUCCAAUUUAUUUCUCCAAGCAGCAUUAGGUGCAUAUAUAUAUAUGUAUGAAUAUAUAUAUGUAUGAAUAUAUAUAUAUAUAUAUAUAUAUAUGAAUGAAGAGAGAGAGCGCGCCAUUCACGCAAGAAUAGAAGCCCCAGACUCUGGAGGGAGCCUCUCCUGGGAUGGUGAGAAUGGCCACCAGGACUCUUUUCUAGGUCAAAGCCACAUAGAAAGUGCACUCACCUUUCAGCUGCUCUUCGAGGGGGACGGGAUGGCAAGCAGAGCCUCACAAUGCACCCUUUCCCGGGGCUGUCCACUGAGCUCCUCGACCUCCGCCGGUCUGGAGAGAGGCCUGCUGGGGGGUUCCUUGAAGGCCACUGAGUCCGCCGGGACCGCUAGCCCAGGCCAGAGCCCAUAGCACACAGGUGCGGCCUCUGCCUGUCACAGGCCUUCGCUUGGAGCCAAAGCCCGCCUUCCUUGCCAUAGCCAAUCCUCCUCAGGGCCAGCCAGGCCUGCAGGCCUCAGGACUACGAGUGCUAUCUCCGAUUUCAAAAUCCCACAGCGGACGCGUUUCCCGAACCAGUGUGCGCCCCCGGGGCGCCUUGGGACGCACAGUUUGGCGAGAAGCAGCCGUGACGUGCCAGGCGGCCUGUGCAACCAGUCUCCAUGGUGCUGGGGUGGCGGCAGGACUCGAGUCUAGUCGGGCGUCCAGCUCCGGUCAGGGGUGGCCAAGGCGGGGGAGGUUCCCGGCCAGUCAGGCCCUGGGAGGCCGCCCCUGAGGUCCUCCCUCGCCCCCCUCUCCUCGGGCUGCUUGGGAACCUCUGAGGGGCCCGCGCAGCAGUCGCGCCAGGCUGCACGACUCGGGGCUGCGGCUGGCGUCGGUUCCGGCGACGGCCACAGCGUGGCAGCAGCGAGCGCCCGGCGCGGUCGCAAUAAAUAAUCUGCUCGCGGCAGCCGCAGUCAGGCAGCUCACGGCCCCGCGAUGCAAAUGCGCCUUUAUCCGCCCCAGCGCACCCCCCAGCGCGGGUGGACGUUCCCGACGUCCACAGGCCCUUCUAAAUUGUAGAGUGCAUACCAAGGCAUCAUCUUAAGGUGGGGAAACAACAACAACCAAAACCAAAAAGCAAACAAAAAGAACUCCCAGAACCUCAGGUUCAUUUCUGGUCGCUGUCCCAGGAAGCUCCCGGGACAAAUCUGAUCGAGGUACACCCAGGUCAAGUUGGGUCUGUGCCACCGCUCUUCGUCAAGCCCACGCCCGCGGCACCCUCCGCGCCUUCUCCCAGGCGGCUGCACAGUCCUCCCCCGGCUCUCGGAGAUGGGCAGCGCGCGGUCGCCAGCCAGCCCGCUGCGCCGAGGUGGCUGUGGCUGGGAGGAGGUCCCCUAUCGCCCAAACUCGGUUUGCGUCCUUCCUUCAACCUUGGCUGCGGGCCCCUGCCACUCGCAAUAACACCACCACAUCCUCUGCACCGAAACUUCCCGCCAAGCAACACCCAGCCAAUUAACCCCAUCCUCUCCUCCAACACAGAAUUCCACCCACGAACCUAUUCCCUCUCCCCGCGCUUCAGACACCUCUCUCAUCGGAAAACCGCGUGAAGGGAAGCAGGCACUCAGCAGAGGACCCUGGCUGAAUUAGUAAGUUUUUGUUUGUUUUUUUCCCUCAGUCUACUUUUCUCUCCAGAAACCAGUUCCCACGGAAUAGAAGGUGCUGUGUUGAUGCUGAUAAAACCCCUGUCGAUGAAUUCACUUUGCCCCCGCCUCUUACCAGCUUCCCAGGUCGGGAACUGUCUCCAGUUAUUGGGGGAUUCAAUCCUGCCAAUUGGGUCAUAAAAAAAAAAUCCAAACCCGGGAGGCUGGCAGGGAAUGCAGGGUGCAGGGCCACUUCCUUUUGGGCUCUCCGAGGUCGCCGAGGAAGGGGAGAAAGAAGACCUCAGUGUUCCUGCCCCGUGCCAGGGCGCUGUGCCACAGAAGGAAAGCAGGCAUUCACUGCCACGAUGGCGGUUCCCAGAAGCUCCUGCCCCUCUGACAGCUGUCGCCUGGGCAGCCCGGGGAGACGAAUUGUCCUCUUUCCUGGUGCUAGAGGACGCAGGAAAUUAGCCAGGUUGCGAGUUGUAAAGCGGCCGCGGCGGCGCCGGGAACUGGACGAGCCCCACCUCCAGCGGGAGCGGCCGGGCCGGGCCGGGCCGGGGCCUCGUCUCGCUCGCCAUCGCCGGACAAAGCACAGCCGAGCCGGGCUGGAAGGCAGAGCGCCGAAGCAGGCAGGACGGAGCGGAGGAAAAGAAUGCGGCUCUAUUCUCGCAAGGGAAAUUAUAAAAAAGUUCAUGUUCACGGUUCCCAUCCACAUGACCGACAGCGGCCAAUGGAAGGGCCGAACAACUCAUAAAGUUGUAUUGCAAAGUUGUAAAUUUUCAUAAACAACAACGGAUUUAU